AUCCCCGCCUUCUGUGACGAAGCCAAGUGUGGCUAGUGGUGUGGCAUCUGAGGUUAAAUCAAAGGCUCAACGGGGACUCUUCAAGGACAAUACGCCUGUCUCGGCUACCCCGGUGAUAUCUGAUCCAGUUGACAAUCCUCUUGAUGAUGAAGGAUACGACGGCUUGGCCAGCGGGUCUGUCGCUGAGCAGGAGAGAUCACCACUGCUUGCUGGUUCCACCGAGACAGAUGCCCUGCUAAUACCUGAUCAGGCUUCCGACGCAAAGAA